rnacentral:rRNA from 1 species
UGGGGAAUAUUGGACAAUGGGCGCAAGCCUGAUCCAGCCAUGCCGCGUGAGUGAUGAAGGCCUUAGGGUUGUAAAGCUCUUUUAGCAGGGACGAUAAUGACGGUACCUGCAGAAAAAGCCCCGGCCAACUUCGUGCCAGCAGCCGCGGUAAUACGAAGGGGGCUAGCGUUGCUCGGAAUCACUGGGCGUAAAGCGCACGUAGGUGGGUCGUUAAGUCGGGGGUGAAAUCCCAGAGCUCAACUCUGGAACU